ACGGACGUACUGCAGACGAGCACCGCCUACUACGUGCAGCAGCGCGUAUAGUAGGGUGCGAGCCGUAAUCUGAAUUAUUGCCUCAAGAGCUCGUAGCAGUUUGUCGCGUCUGUCGUGAAAGUACGGGGCUUAACCCCCGGAUCUGCGGUGGGUACGGGCAGACUAGAGUGCAGUAGGGGAGACUAGAAUUCCUGUGUAGCGGUGGAAUGCGCAGAUAUCAGGAGGAACACCGAUGGCGAAGGCAGGUCUCUGGGCUGUAACUGACGCUGAGGAGCGAAAGCAUGGGGAGCGAACAGGAUUAGAUACCCUGGUAGUCCAUGCCGUAAACGUUGGGCACUAGGUGUGGGGACCAUUCCACCGUUUCCGCGCCGCAGCUAACGCAUUAAGUGCCCCGCCUGGGGAGUACGGCCGCAAGGCUAAAACUCAAAGGAAUUGACGGGGGCCCGCACAAGCGGCGGAGCAUGCGGAUUAAUUCGAUGCAACGCGAAGAACCUUACCAAGGCUUGACAUGUUCUCGAUCGCCGUAGAGAUACGGUUUCCCCUUUGGGGCGGGUUCACAGGUGGUGCAUGGUUGUCGUCAGCUCGUGUCGUGAGAUGUUGGGUUAAGUCCCGCAACGAGCGCAACCCUCGUUCCAUGUUGCCAGCACGUAAUGGUGGGGACUCAUGGGAGACUGCCGGGGUCAACUCGGAGGAAGGUGAGGACGACGUCAAAUCAUCAUGCCCCUUAUGUCUUGGGCUUCACGCAUGCUACAAUGGCCGGUACAAUGGGUUGCGAUACUGUGAGGUGGAGCUAAUCCCAAAAAGCCGGUCUCAGUUCGGAUUGGGGUCUGCAACUCGACCCCAUGAAGUCGGAGUCGCUAGUAAUCGCAGAUCAGCAACGCUGCGGUGAAUACGUUCCCGGGCCUUGUACACACCGCCCGUCAAGUCACGAAAGUUGGUAACACCCGAAGCCGGUGGCCUAACCCUUGUGGGGGGAGCCGUCG
rnacentral:rRNA from 1 species